GCUGGGCAUGGUGGUGCAUGCUUGUAAUCCCAGCUACCUGGGAGGCUGAGGCAGGAGAAUCGCUUGAACCCGGGAGGCAGAGGUUGCAGUGGGUGGAGAUCACGCCACUGCACUCCAGCCUGGGUGAAAGAGUGAGAUGCUGUCUCAA
rnacentral:SRP_RNA from 1 species